UCGUUUCCCUGUCCGCAAGGGGGCAAACAGCUCAGAGGCUGGAUGGCUGGAGUCGUUCACAAUCCUGAGCGCGCACGUGAGCGCGCUCUGGAGUGGUAAAUGUCGGUGGGGAGAACAGAACGGCUGUUUCAUAAGAGCUUGUCUGCAGAAGCAGGAAGUCCCCAAAUGGAGGCACUGUUGAAAUCAAGAAGCUGACUCCUCAGAAAUGGAAAAGGGAAGAGGAGGAAUCGGGGCUUGAACCCUCAACCUCAGCAUUCAAACCCCAUGUCAAUGCCACUACACCACCAUCAUGUCUGGGUUCUCAGUCGGUAGUUUCCAGUGCUCUACAGAGACAUUGUCAAUCGGAUGAGAUUUAUAGAUGAAGAGAGUCAAAAGGAGAGAGCUGGGCUCGAACUCUGUACCUCUGUAGCCAGAGGCGGAGACACUACCAUUAAGCCACGGUGGGAUUAACGAGUUCGGCGGUGAUUUUUUGGAUAGAAGAAGAUGAGCCCAGAGGGACAAAAAUUGGGAAGAGCUCUGAAUUAACCGAAUAACUCCGCAUCCAAAGACGACAAUUUUCACGACACAAUUAUCUUUGAUAUGGUUUUGGAGUCUCUGUGGGAGGAGGGGGCAGGGUUCAGGGGGUGGGGGGAAAGGAGAGGGAGGGAAAUUGAACUUACAUCCUUCUGCUUUGUGGAGUGAGGUCCUGUUCCCUGCACCACAGAGCUCAUCAAGGUUUAUACAGACAUAAACAGGAAGAGGUCAGCCUUGAGUCACAGAUCCAGAGCAGGUGCUCUCCCUCUUGAGCAGACAGGCAAGGCCAGACAAGAGAAGUCAUCAUGCGUAUAGCUUUAACACAAACACUUUCAUUAAAAACUCUAAUAUGUGUUUGCUUUCUUUUAAAGUGUUUUAAAAUGUAAAACACGUAGAAUUAUGUCCCUAAAACACGAAGAAGAGACUGUGGCGAAAUAUAAACCCACAGCUUAUCGUAUGUAAGCUACUUUGUGAAGCUUUUGUUAUAUGUAAGGAAUGCUUGUGCUGUUGUUAUUUGUGUAUUGAACAAGUGAUUUGAAGUCCCAUCCAAUCAGAUGAUCUAAUUACUGGGGUAAAGGUGUGCCUGCGGGUAAUUGGUUGGUUUUAAAUGAUGCCUUUGAAUGUUUUCCUUCACCGUGAUUAAAAAUGAGAUGGUUAAGCUA